AGUAAAAUUUUGCAUAUUCCAAUAGCGGAGGAAAAGAAACCAACAGGGAUUGCCCUAGUAACGGCGAGUGAAGCGGCAACAGCUCAAAUUUGAAAGCUGGCCUUCGGGUCCGCAUUGUAAUUUGUAGAGGAUGCUUUGGGUGAAACGCCAGUCUAAGUUCCUUGGAACAGGACGUCAUAGAGGGUGAGAAUCCCGUAUGUGACUGGAAAUGUUAACCUAUGUAAAGCUCCUUCGACGAGUCGAGUUGUUUGGGAAUGCAGCUCUAAAUGGGAGGUAAAUUUCUUCUAAAGCUAAAUAUUGGCGAGAGACCGAUAGCGCACAAGUAGAGUGAUCGAAAGAUGAAAAGCACUUUGGAAAGAGAGUUAAAAAGCACGUGAAAUUGUUGAAAGGGAAGCGCUUGCAAUCAGACUUGUUUAAACUGUUCGGCCGGUCUUCUGACCGGUUUACUCAGUUUGGACAGGCCAGCAUCAGUUUCGGCGGCCGGAUAAAGGCUCUGGGAAUGUGGCCUUCACUUCGGUGAAGGUGUUAUAGCCCAGGGUGUAAUACGGCCAGCCGGGACUGAGGUCCGCGCUCGGCUAGGAUGCUGCGUAA
rnacentral:rRNA from 1 species